CUGUGGGAAGGAGGAGAUGAAAGCUGAACAGCAGAGGAAGAAGUUGGAUCACAGCACAGUCCAAAGAGAAGCCUUGGCUGACACCUUAGAGAACCCCGAGAUGGAAUGGACCUUCACAGCUGUCCCAAGUUGGGGAAGACACUCUUGUUUCUGUGAUCCUUCCAGAUUUUACAGUUUGUAAGAACUGGAGAAAAACCAUAAAGAAUAAAGUUAAGGCAAUAAUUCUGCGUUGGUCUGGAUUGUUCCUCUACGCUCUCAGAACCUCUUCAGGCAAUAAGCCUGAGGAGGAAGACGUCGGUUGGAGCAGGAGUGGCAGAACUUCGGAGGUGUAUGGCUAUAACCUGGAUAUACAGCCUGGAUUACAGAAAGCUGCCUUAGGAACUUGUGAGUGGAUGGCUGCAAGUGGAGGAAGGAUGCUGAAGUCACUGUCCAAAGAAAAGCUGCCCAGGACUCAGCCAACUCACAUCCGG